UUUAUAGGCAGUUUGGACUGACAUUACAACAAGUCCUGCACUAACCUGACUAUCACGGAACAAUGAGGGCUGUCUGGAUUUUAGUGCUCUUGGUGGUGUCUAUAAAAAGUGUUCAGAGUCAGACGCUGACUGAGUCUGAAUCAGUGGUUAAAACGUUUGAAGAAUCCCACAAACUGACUUGCACGUAUUCUGGGUUUGGUGGCAACUAUUGGAACGCUUGGAUCAGGCAGGCUCCAGGGAAAGGGCUAGAAUGGGUUGCUACAAUUAGUGAUUCCAGCAGUAAUAUCUACUACUCCCAGUCAGUCCAGGGUUGGUUCACCAUCUCCAGAGACAAUAGCAAGCAGCAGGUGUAUCUCCAGAUGAACAGUCUGAAGACUGAAGACUCUGCUGUUUAUUAUUGUGCCAGAGACACAGUGACACAGGAGGCUGCAGCUCUGUACAAAAACUGAUCAAGCGCUUCUCUCACUGUGAGAGUCUGUGAUUCUGAUCUCCAGUCUCUGUUAACCUGUUUGGGAUAGG